rnacentral:lncRNA from 1 species
AAAAACGCUGCCCUUCAAAUGCAACAGUUUGUUGGCGAAGAGAAGAAUGAUUUGUUGGACUAUUUAAGAUCUUUGCAACCUGAGAAGGUUUGUGUAAAAACCUCUGAAGCCAAGUGCCUUUCGGGUUCUCUCUGAUCAUCUAAACUUUUUUUUUUUAACAGGUAGCUGAGUUGUCAGAACCCGCGGCUCCCGAGGUGAAAGAGACAAUCCAUUCUGUUGUUCACGGUCUUUUGGCAACCCUAUCACCGAAGAUGCACUCCAAGUUGCCAGCAUCAGAAGGUCCACCUACUGAAACAGUAAAAUCGAAAAGUGAUGAAGACUGUGCUGAACUUGUUGAGAAUACUUCGCUUCAGUUUCAGCCUCUUAUCUCACUGACUCGAGACUAC